rnacentral:tRNA from 1 species
AGGAUAAUAGUUUAAAAAAAACAUUUGAUUUGCAUUUAAAAAAUAUUUUAUAGUAAAUUUAUCUUA